UNUGACUUGAGUGCAGAAGGGGAGAGUGGAAUUCCAUGUGUAGCGGUGAAAUGCGUAGAUAUAUGGAGGAACACCAGCGGCGAAAGCGGCUCUCUGGUCUGUCACUGACGCUGAGGCUCGAAAGCGUGGGUAGCGAACAGGAUUAGAUACCCUGGUAGUNCACGCCGUAAACGAUGAGUGCUAGGUGUUAGGCCCUUUCCGGGGCUUAGUGCCGGAGCUAACGCAAUAAGCACUCCGCCUGGGGAGUACGACCGCAAGGUUGAAACUCAAAGGAAUUGACGGGGGCCCGCACAAGCGGUGGAGCAUGUGGUUUAAUUCGAAGCAACGCGAAGAACCUUACCAGGUCUUGACAUCCCGAUGCUAUUCUUAGAGAUAGGAAGUUACUUCGGUACAUCGGAGACAGGUGGUGCAUGGUUGUCGUCAGCUCGUGUCGUGAGAUGUUGGGUUAAGUCCCGCAACGAGCGCAACCCUUAUUGUUAGUUGCCAUCAUUAAGUUGGGCACUCUAGCGAGACUGCCGGUAAUAAACCGGAGGAAGGUGGGGAUGACGUCAAAUCAUCAUGCCCCUUAUGACCUGGGCUACACACGUGCUACAAUGGUCGGUACAACGAGUUGCGAGCCGGUGACGGCAAGCUAAUCUCUGAAAGCCGAUCUCAGUUCGGAUUGGAGGCUGCAACUCGCCUCCAUGAAGUCGGAAUCGCUAGUAAUCGCGGAUCAGCACGCCGCGGUGAAUACGUUCCCGGGCCUUGUACACACCGCCCGUCACACCACGAGAGUUUGUAACACCCGAAGUCGGUGAGGUAACCUUUUAGGGNCCA
rnacentral:rRNA from 1 species